rnacentral:sRNA from 1 species
GCUGGGCAUGGUGGCUCAUGCCUGUAAUCCUAGCAGCUCAAGAGGCUGAGGCAGGAAGAUUGCAAGUUCAAAGCCAGUUUCCAGCGUAAGUGAGGCCCUGAGAAACUUAGAGAGAUCCUGUCUCCA